rnacentral:rRNA from 1 species
GAUCAGCUUAUAAAAGGCGGCGUAAGCUGUCGCUAUGGGAUGGCCCCGCGGUGCAUUAGCUAGUUGGUAAGGUAACGGCUUACCAAGGCAAUGAUGCAUAGCCGAGUUGAGAGACUGAUCGGCCACAUUGGGACUGAGACACGGCCCAAACUCCUACGGGAGGCAGCAGUAGGGAAUCUUCCACAAUGGACGCAAGUCUGAUGGAGCAACGCCGCGUGAGUGAAGAAGGUUUUCGGAUCGUAAAGCUCUGUUGUUGGUGAAGAAGGAUAGAGGUAGUAACUGGCCUUUAUUUGACGGUAAUCAACCAGAAAGUCACGGCUAACUACGUGCCAGCAGCCGCGGUAAUACGUAGGUGGCAAGCGUUGUCCGGAUUUAUUGGGCGUAAAGCGAGCGCAGGCGGAAGAAUAAGUCUGAUGUGAAAGCCCUCGGCUUAACCGAGGAACUGCAUCGGAAACUGUUUUUCUUGAGUGCAGAAGAGGAGAGUGGAAUUCCAUGUGUAGCGGUGGAAUGCGUAGAUAUAUGGAAGAACACCAGUGGCGAAGGCGACUCUCUGGUCUGCAACUGACGCUGAGGCUCGAAAGCAUGGGUAGCGAACAGGAUUAGAUACCCUGGUAGUCCAUGCCGUAAACGAUGAGUGCUAAGUGUUGGGAGGUUUCCGCCUCUCAGUGCUGCAGCUAACGCAUUAAGCACUCCGCCUGGGGAGUACGACCGCAAGGUUGAAACUCAAAGGAAUUGACGGGGGCCCGCACAAGCGGUGGAGCAUGUGGUUUAAUUCGAAGCAACGCGAAGAACCUUACCAGGUCUUGACAUCUAGUGCCAUCCUAAGAGAUUAGGAGUUCCC